rnacentral:rRNA from 1 species
CAGCCGUAAACAAUGCGCGUUAGGUGUGUCGGUAACCACGUGUUACUGAUGCGCCGAAGAGAAAUCGUGAAACGCACCACCUGGGAAGUACGGUCGCAAGGCUGAAACUUAAAGGAAUUGGCGGGGGAGCACCACAACAGGUGGAGCCUGCGGUUUAAUUGGAUUCAACGCCGGACAUCUCACCGGAUAAGACAGCUGAAUGAUUGUCAAUCUGAAGGUUUUACAUGACUAGCUGAGAGGAGGUGCAUGGCGUCAGUGACU